AGCAGCCGCGGUAAUUCCAGCUCCAAUAGCGUAUAUUAAAGUUGUUGCAGUUAAAAAGCUCGUAGUUGAAUUUCGGGGUUCUACCGUUGGUCGGGCUAUUGUCUGUACUGGCGUGUAGAAUUUCUACCUUCUGGGGAACUAUCAUGUUAUUUAUUUAGCGUGGUAGGAAACCAGGACCUUUACCUUGAAAAAAUUAGAGUGUUCAAAGCAGGCUUAUGUCUGAAUACAUUAGCAUGGAAUAAUAGAAUAGGACGUGUGGUUUUAUUUUGUUGGUUUCUAGGACCGCCGUAAUGAUUAAUAGGGACAGUCGGGGGCAUCAGUAUUCAAUUGUCAGAGGUGAAAUUCUUGGAGUUAU
rnacentral:rRNA from 1 species